AACGAACGCUGGCGGCAGGCCUAACACACGCAAGUCGAGCGAAGCCUUCGGGCUUAGCGGCGGACGGGUGAGUAACGCGUGGGAACGUGCCCUUUGCUACGGAAUAGCCCCGGGAAACUGGGAGUAAUACCGUAUGUGCCCUUCGGGGGAAAGAUUUAUCGGCAAAGGAUCGGCCCGCGUUGGAUUAGGUAGUUGGUGGGGUAAUGGCCUACCAAGCCGACGAUCCAUAGCUGGUUUGAGAGGAUGAUCAGCCACACUGGGGCUGAGACACGGCCCAGACUCCUACGGGAGGCAGCAGUGGGGAAUCUUAGACAAUGGGCGGAAGCCUGAUCUAGCCAUGCCGCGUGAUCGAUGAAGGCCUUAGGGUUGUAAAGAUCUUUCAGGUGGGAAGAUAAUGACUGUACCACCAGAAGAAGCCCCGGCUAACUCCGUGCCAGCCGCCGCAGUAACAC
rnacentral:rRNA from 1 species